UGCCACUCCGUCCCCCCAUUUAACGGCACUUUUUGAACUGGAAGGCGAUUGGACUGCAUCCCGGAAGAAGAGUUGGUCACGUGCCUACCCCACCGGAGUACUCUGGGAAAUAAUUUCGGUAAUUGGUUGCAGCUGUUGAGAUCAUUUCGACGCAGCACGAUACUGCUUGUUUCAGACAAACUUCAGUUCGUAAAAAUGGUCCCGUGCUGCACGAGCGGGAUCUUUAUCCCAAAGCUUAAUCGGCACCUUUCAAGGAGAGAUCGGGAGACAACCGUGAACCAACAAACUAAACAAAGAUGGUAGGUAUUAAUACUUUCAUUAAAUAUUUUUAAAAUUUUCCAGGAAAAGCACUAAUAAAAAAUGGUUGACAUUGAAGCAAGCUUCUAAAGAAUGCCUUAAUGAGACUCUAGUUUUCGCAAUUGAAGGAGUUUGUAAAUUUUUUUUUUUUUUUAAUUGUGAAACCCUUUUGGAGCCUUCACACUGAUUUUUGUAAUAAAUGUGCAAAAAUCACAAACACCAAAUCUUAAACUUAGCAGUUCAUUCAUAUUUUCAUUCAUUCAGAAUUUAGCGACAUCUGAGCU